GGACAGAUGGCUGCAGAGCAUCAACAGUGUGGCUACAAGGCGGACGAGGCAUCGCUGGUUUGGUGAAGAAGAGCUGACUUGGAAUUGGAGAAGAAGGCAGUGGUGAUCUCAUUUUUUUAAUCUUCACCCAAGAUACAUGCAUGAGAAGGAAGACUCCUGCUGUUAGGCUCCAUCCAUGACGGGGAGCCUCUGUUUCUUGAUUGCUCAUUGUUUAAGCUGGUCGAUUUGUUUAUCUCUGACUUCCCUUCUUUCCUUUUGUAUUUAUCUCUCGGGUAGAUCUUGUAGUCAAUAAAGACCGCAUCUUUGGCCUCUGUUUGAUGUGUGCCUGAGCCAUGAUCUUCUUGCAGAUGCUAUUCCAUCCAUCGGUUGCUAGCUGAAACCUUGAGGUGGGUUUUCUAGAUUCAGAUUUGUUGCCUGGCCUUGCACUAUGGUUGUUAUAUUCUAUGUGGGUUGGAUGGUUCUCUGUAUGACAGAUGCUUCCUUGCAUGAAGAUUCUCGAUUGUUUAUUUCUGGCGCACGCCAUCUAUCUCGAUCUGAUGGUAGCUAUCUUCCUUUGAUCUGCUUGUGUACAUGCUAUUACAUGCGUUUGACUCACCUAUUUUGUAUUGAGCAGAUGUUACAUGCUCAAUUAGUGGUACAUACUGUGUACUGAUGCUUGCAAUGGUUUUUUUUAAUGUUGUGUAGUGAUUUUUGUUACUUUAAUUUUUUGUGGUUUGUAAGCCUCCCGAUUCUAAUUGAAAUAACCUCAUAUCAAUACUGUCGGUGUUAGUUUCCUCGCUGAUAAUGUGGUACCUAUUCAGUCAGAAUUUUCCUGGAAGAGUAAAACUGGAUGACUACAAUUUUAGUGUCCGGCAUGUGUUUUGUAUUGUUUACCAGAGCCUAUGUUAGUUAACUCAAAUUAGAAUUAUGCCUUUUAAAUUAUGUGACACAUCUUCUUCCUCUACACUAAGAUAAUUCAUGUAUUAUAAGCAGAAUAAUGCAAAAUCUAAUUUUACUGGAGUCCUUUCUCUGGUUUCAUGACUUCAUGGCUUUCGAAACAUGUGGUCCAACACCAAGAAUCAUUCCUCUUAAUGUUUAAUUUUGUGAAAUGUUAGCUGCAGUAGUUUUACCGAUAAUGGAAGGGUCUGAGUACUUCCAUUGGCAAAAAAUGUGAAGUGAAUCUCAAGAUAGCUUUGCUCUUUGUAUCAUUGUCAAUUUCUUUAUUUCCUUUGGAAAUGACAAAAUGGUGUUUGUUUUUGCAGCUUGCAGAAAUUCUUAGUAAGGGAAGAUUGGUUAAUAAAUGAAUUUGCCAGUCCAUAUUUGAACGGCGCUUGAUUGUUUCUACCAAUUUUUUUACUGGAAUUGAUUGCUGUAUACCAAAGUCUUCUGCUUAUAACUUCACGGUAUGUUCUGCAGGUUUGCUAAGUUAUGGAAAGUUAUUUUUUAUCUAUUGAAUUUAGAUCCGUGAGACUUUUGUUGAAGCUGAUAAGGUUAUAAUUAAAAUUUCCGACUAAUGGAUCAUCAUUUGUAAUUCCUUUUUAGAAUGUGUUUACUAUCAAGUGGUAUCAUGUAAAUGUAUUCAGAACAAAAAGGACUAGCUUCUUUGCGGGAGCAUGUUUCAAUUCUUCGCUUAACAUUUUCACUGAAACCUUGGUUUUGAUAAGAAAAUCUUUCUAUUUAUGGUUUUGGUAGUUAAGUUGAAGUUCAAUAAAGAAUAUGACCUGAGUUGGACAGAAAGUGUUGAGCAGGUACGUAAUCAUCCUGAUAGAAAUAAUAAACUCACCUCUACUUCAGUUGUUACUUUCAUCCUUCCUGUUUACUGCAUACUCUGUUUUUAGAAGCAACUCAAGCCCACUUUUUUCUUACGGUGUUUUAUGGUGUUGUGGAGUAGUGUUUCAUAAGAUAUUUAAUGGUUCAAGAUUGUUUAUGUUUUAACUCUACACUGAGAUAUAUGCUUUUUUUGGCAGCCGCUGAGAUAUAUGAUUUAAUUUCACUUGGGGAGGAGAAGAGAACAGAAAGAGGCAGAUCUAUGGGAAAAUUCCGAAAUACAUGUAUCUGGUGAGCCUUCAAGUUCACAUGCAAUUUAGAACAUCCUACUUUAAGAAACAUACAGAUUAAAAGUAUAAAAUUAUAGCUCUUGACGAAUGAUUCACAUUCACUUACCCUCACCAGCAUGUUUGUGUGUUACUUUUAUAGAAACACAAAGCUGUUGGUACUUUUUUUUCCCCAAAAAGAGGUUGGACCCAUGGCCUCUGGAUCAAAGUUGUUGGUCCUAAUGUCUUAUUGUUUUAGUUCCCCUAAUUUGUGACACAACUUGUAGACUAGGGUCACCUAUCACACAUAAUCAAUUUGUAUUAUUAAAAAACUGAGAACUGUUAUGCUCCUUUCAUUUUUGUCAUUAUCGUAGCAUGUUAAUUAGGAACCAGAAGAAACACAUGAAUUUGCUCAUAGCACAUUCUCUAUUUUCCGAUCUGUUAUGUAAUUUCGAGUUUGUGCUUUAGCAUGUUCAUUAGGAACCUGAAGAAACACAUGAAUUUGCUUAUAGCAUAUUCUCUCUUUUCUGAUCUUUUAUGUAAUUUUGAGUUUGUGCUUUUGCAAAUUUGAUCUCAUGUAUGUGAGGAAAGUUUUCUGGGCCAGACCUCCAUACCGCUAUCACCACUACUUUCAUCUUUCCUUUUCUUCGUCAUGUUGCUUGCAUACCUCUGCUUCAGAAACAAGCCAGGAGCCAUCAUUUUUACCAGCUGUCUAUUUGUUUCAUACUAGGAAAAAUGCAUUAGAUAAAUUUAAUGGUUUCAAGGGUGGCACAGGUGCACAACUAUUGUUUCAGGUUCGGCUUUCCGAUCAUUGAUUUCCCAUCUAUUACCUUCCUCUUCAGUGAUAUACAAUCCCAUAUAUCCCUUAUAUAUACAUCUCCUUCUGGUUCUUGCCAAUCUCUACUCGCUUUUAGAUUCCGGGGCUUUAGGAUAGCAGUAAUAUAAAAAUGUACCAAUUUCAUUUACAUAUGGUUUUCUAACCAGCAGCAAUUGGUAAGAAUUGAACCCAAGGACAAGUACUCUGAGGUAAUGUAGAGUUCUGUUUCUCAACGAAGGAGCUAUAUCCAAGUACCAGUACUGUUAAGUCUUAGGAAUUGAAUACAAGGUCACCAUCUAAGAUGAUCUGGUUAGUACACUUUUGCAUGUAGGGGAGGAUCCUUGCGCAAGGCCGUUUCUCUUUACCCCGCAGUUCUUUAUUUAAUUUUUAUGAUGUAAGUUAGGCGCUAUAACAGGGAAUAUCAUUUCUUGAUAUUAGACCAAUGGACACAACAGAAAUAUGUUGACUUCUUCUUUUAGUGUUUAGGCAUUUGUGCAUUUACAUUCGGUUGAAUUAUGUGCUAUGUUAUGUGCUAUGGAAUAUACAUUAGCUGGUGUUA